rnacentral:rRNA from 1 species
UACAGAGGUCUCGAGCGUUGUUCGGAUUCAUUGGGCGUAAAGGGCGCGUAGGCGGCGGGGUAAGUCUGGUGUGAAAUCUCGGAGCUCAACUCCGAAGUUGCACUGGAUACUGCUCUGCUAGAGGGCUGGAGAGGAGAUCGGAAUUCACGGUGUAGCAGUGAAAUGCGUAGAUAUCGUGAGGAAGACCAGUGGCGAAGGCGGAUCUCUGGACAGCUCCUGACGCUGAGGCGCGAAGGCUAGGGGAGCAAACGGG